GGGGCCCGCACAAGCAGCGGAGCGUGUGGUUUAAUUCGAUGCAACGCGAAGAACCUUACCAGGGUUUGACAUGCUUAAAGUAGAAACUCGAAAGAGGGACGACCUGUAUCCAGUCAGGAAUUUGCACAGGUGCUGCAUGGCUGUCGUCAGCUCGUGCCGUGAGGUGUUAGGUUAAGUCCUGCAACGAGCGCAACCCUCGUCGCUAGUUACUUUUCUCUAGCGAUACUGCCCGUAUAACGUGGAGGAAGUGGGGAUGACGUCAAAUCAUCAUGCCCCUUAUGUUCUGGGCUACACACGUGCUACAAUGGCCGGUACAGACGGACGCAAAGCCGCGAGGUGGAGCAAAUCCUAAAAAGCCGGUCUCAGUUCGGAUUGCAGGCUGCAAUUCGCCUGCAUGAAGUCGGAAUCGCUAGUAAUCGCAGGUCAGCAUACUGCGGUGAAUACGUUCCCGGGCCUU
rnacentral:rRNA from 1 species